rnacentral:lncRNA from 1 species
CCUCCAGUCGGAUCCUACCGGUUCUCAUUCGAUGGAUCUGGAUCCUCCCAACUCUCAUCCUCCGAUCGAAUCUGGUCGAUCGAUUCUCCCAGCUUUCAUCUUCCAGUCAAAUCCAGUCGUCUUUGGAUCUUCCCAGCUCUUAUCCUUCGGUCGGAUCCAAUCCUCCGAGCUCUCAUUGGAUCCGAUUGUCCUCCAGUAGGAUCCAGAUCUUCCCAACUCUAUCAUCUUCUGAUUCGAGCCGAUAGGAUCCUCCCAGCUCUCAUCGUAGGUUGUGGUUCGAUGAUCAAUCAGGAGAUGAUCUCCAAGCCAUCAUCAUCAUCAUGGAUGUGUAUGGAUGCUGACUAGUAAAUCCUAAACUCUAAACCCUAAACUUUAAAUCCAAACCCUAAAUCCUAAACCCAAACCCUAAAUCUUAAACCUUAAACUCUAAACCGGAGGACGCUAACAUCCAACCAAUCUUGUGAUGUGCAUUGAUGUGGAUAGAGCACUGUAAUUUAAUCUGACCUAAAGUUCAGUAUGACCUGACCUAACCUAAAGCACCAUGUGACCUGAUGUAAAGCACCCGAAUGCUGUGACUCGACCUAAAAUUCUUGUGAUCUGACUGACCCGUGACCCAGUGAGCCACCUGUGAUCCAACAGGACUAACCAGAUGUAGGUGCCUAAGCGCCUCC